rnacentral:tRNA from 1 species
CAUAAUGUAGCUUAACAAAAGCAUCUGGCCUACACCCAGAAGACUCCACGACCAAUGGACGUUAUGA